rnacentral:rRNA from 1 species
GUAGGUGGCAAGCGUUGUCCGGAAUUAUUGGGCGUAAAGCGCGCGCAGGCGGUUCGUUUAAGCCUGAUGUGAAAGCCCACGGGCUCAACCGUGGAGGGUCAUUGGAAACUGGAGAACUUGAGUACAGAAGAGGAAAGCGGAAUUCCACGUGUAGCGGUGAAAUGCGUAGAGAUGUGGAGGAACACCAGUGGCGAAGGCGGCUUUCUGGUCUGUAACUGACGCUGAGGCGCGAAAGCGUGGGGAGCAAACAGGAUUAGAUACCCUGGUAGUCCACGCCGUAAACGAUGAGUGCUAAGUGUUAGGGGGUUUCCGCCCCUUAGUGCUGCAGCUAACGCAUUAAGCACUCCGCCUGGGGAGUACGGCCGCAAGGCUG